UCGGGGUGUAGCUCAAUGGCUAGAGCGUUCCGUUGUCUGCGGAAAUGUUGCGGGUUCAAGUCCCGUCACCCUGGU
rnacentral:tRNA from 1 species